rnacentral:rRNA from 1 species
GAGUCAUAGUACGCAAGGAAUGGUCUCAGCGAUGCUCGACUAUAUUGGCCCCAUCGACGUAAUUAACUUCUGGCUGCUGCAAAGAAGGAAAACAAAGGGUUUAGGGAUUAAUUAGGUACC